rnacentral:rRNA from 1 species
AUACGGAGGAUCCGAGCGUUAUCCGGAUUUAUUGGGUUUAAAGGGAGCGUAGGUGGAUUGUUAAGUCAGUUGUGAAAGUUUGCGGCUCAACCGUAAAAUUGCAGUUGAAACUGGCAGUCUUGAGUACAGUAGAGGUGGGCGGAAUUCGUGGUGUAGCGGUGAAAUGCUUAGAUAUCACGAAGAACUCCGAUUGCGAAGGCAGCUCACUAGACUGUUACUGACACUGAUGCUCGAAAGUGUGGGUAUCAAACAGGAUUAGACACCCUGGUAGUCCACACAGUAAACGAUGAAUACUCGCUGUUUGCGAUAUACAGUAAGCGGCCAAGCGAAAGCAUUAAGUAUUCCACCUGGGGAGUACUCCGGCAACGGUGAAACUCAAAGGAAUUGACGGGG